rnacentral:lncRNA from 12 species
GCAGGAGGGGAUUAUUGGGGUCACCUUAAAGGCUGCCUACUAUACUAGACUUCAAAAAUUCAAAGUACCUCUGGAUUUUUCCUUCUCCUUUUUCUUUCCUUAAUCAGCUGAUUCAGCAGUGAUUCAUAGAGCAUCUAUUGUGCAUAAUGCCUUGUGGUAAAUACCAUGGGAAACACAACAAUAUUUAAUCACAGAGCUCUGCAUUUCACUUGAGGGGUCCAAAUCUACAGUGAGAUAAGGUUCUGGAAGAAUGUUCAAACCCACAUCUCCUUACACACUAGAAUCCAUAUACAACAUACUUGCAGCAUUGGAGGUAUUAUGUCUUGAAGAGCUAAAGCAGAUCUAUGCAGAAUUGAGUCAGAGAACAUGCCAUGCUAGCCUUGAAAUACGGAUGACUCAAUUUGAGGUAAGUUUCCCAUCUCUAAUUUCAGCACCAUCUGUAGGUCACAACUUUCAGGAUUCCUCUUUUAAUCCAAACACACUUCAGUCUCAGGUAAGAAGCUCUCUUGCCUAUGAAAUUGUUUGCAGUUUGGCCCCUCUUGUCUCCAUCUAG